ensembl:lncRNA
AAAAGAACACCCUGGCUGAAAACACAUCUGAGACUGAAAAAUAUUCCUCCUUAAAAAAUGGAGCGUGUUUGAGGCGCCGGUGUUCUGGAGAGGACUGGUGGGCAGGGCUGCAUCGUGCUGGAGUAUCAAGCAAGCACCUGAAAACUGAAUGGCAAAAAGCAAACAGUACUGCCAGACUGCAUUCCAGAAUCAAGAGAGAGUGGCCAAGAUCAGGUUCCAGUUCAGUUUCUGGAGCAGAUAAGAUUCCAUGAGCUGCAUGAAUCUUGGAGAUUCAGAAGAUGGUCUCAGCCGGCAAGAUUGGUCAUGGCCAUUGGCUUUUUCUGAAGCAGCAGUCCAGCGUCAGUCAUCAGCAAAAUGGUGACAAGAGACAGCUUCACUGGCUUUGUGAUCCCUGGAUCUCAUCUAAAUUGACGUUCUUAAAGUCAGCAGUUUCAGUGAUGGCUCCCUGAUUCUCCACCUUCCUGACUGUGGUAGGAGAGCAGUUCCCCUGCUGGGCUCAUUCUGUCGUGUUGUUCUCGAUGCUAUUUCUGGAAGCCUAACUCAGAGCUUUCCAGUCCUUCCAGGAUUGUGCGAACUCCUUGUUUCCU